AAAACACGGACGAACGCUGGCGGCGUGCUUAACACAUGCAAGUCGAACGGAAAGGCCCUGCUUUUGUGGGGUGCUCGAGUGGCGAACGGGUGAGUAACACGUGAGUAACCUGCCCUUGACUUUGGGAUAACUUCAGGAAACUGGGGCUAAUACCGGAUAGGAGCUCCUGCUGCAUGGUGGGGGUUGGAAAGUUUCGGCGGUUGGGGAUGGACUCGCGGCUUAUCAGCUUGUUGGUGGGGUAGUGGCUUACCAAGGCUUUGACGGGUAGCCGGCCUGAGAGGGUGACCGGCCACAUUGGGACUGAGAUACGGCCCAG
rnacentral:rRNA from 1 species